rnacentral:rRNA from 1 species
UACGAAGGGGGCUAGCGUUGCUCGGAAUCACUGGGCGUAAAGCGCACGUAGGCGGAUUGUUAAGUCAGGGGUGAAAUCCUGGAGCUCAACUCCAGAACUGCCUUUGAUACUGAGGGUCUUGAGUUCGGGAGAGGUGAGUGGAACUGCGAGUGUAGAGGUGAAAUUCGUAGAUAUUCGCAAGAACACCAGUGGCGAAGGCGGCUCACUGGCCCGAUACUGACGCUGAUGCACGAAAGCGUGGGAGCAAACAGG